UGAGGAAUAUUGGUCAAUGGGCGCAAGCCUGAACCAGCCAUCCCGCGUGAAGGAUGAAUGUACUAUGUAUUGUAAACUUCUUUUCUGCAAAGAGAAAGGGCGCUACGUGUAGUGUUUUGACGGUAUUGCAGGAAUAAGCAUCGGCUAACUCCGUGCCAGCAGCCGCGGUAAUACGGAGGAUGCAAGCGUUAUCCGGAUUCAUUGGGUUUAAAGGGUGCGUAGGCGGCUUUUUAAGUCAGUGGUGAAAUCCUGCGGCUCAACCGUAGAACUGCCAUUGAUACUGAAGAGCUUGAAUGUAGUUGAGGUAGGCGGAAUGUGCAGUGUAGCGGUGAAAUGCUUAGAUAUUGCACAGAACACCGAUUGCGAAGGCAGCUUACCAAGUUACAAUUGACGCUGAGGC
rnacentral:rRNA from 1 species